rnacentral:rRNA from 1 species
UUUGUGGAGAGUUUGAUCCUGGCUCAGGACGAACGCUGGCGGCGUGCUUAACACAUGCAAGUCGAACGGAAAGGCCCUGCUUGCAGGGUACUCGAGUGGCGAACGGGUGAGUAACACGUGGGUGAUCUGCCCUGCACUUCGGGAUAAGCCUGGGAAACUGGGUCUAAUACCGGAUAGGAGCCAUUUUUAGUGUGAUGGUUGGAAAGUUUUU